GGCCAGAUAAACCAAGCAAACCAAACGACCAUUUGCUUCUCAGUAAAGAUGACAAAUCAGUGGGUGGCAAAUCUGCAAAACUUCCUGAACUUCCUGUUCAAGGGAAGAAAGAAAAAAAAGAAAAGAAGGCACCACCUAUACCUCCUGGACAGUCUAGUGAUAGUAAUAAACUUAAAGAACCAGAAAUCUUCGAUGCUGUACAGCCGUCUCCAGAGAAAUUAACGCAUCCUACAAAAUUUCGGGCCAAUAACCCUAACAGAAGACCCCCC